GCUCCCACUACCCCACUAUUGAUCUUCAACCAGAGUCCCCACAGUUGUGUGGAUUUUACAUAUUGGACAUUUGUAUAAGAUUUUAAUGGUUACAAAGAUUUGACAGCUAAGAAUUUUUUGAAAAGCCACAAAAACAGAUCAUCCCCAAGGUCCCUCAUAGUCCCAUGAGACGAAGAGGAAGGAAGAGCUUUUGGGAUAUGAUACUACUCAGAGGUUUAAGCCAUGGGCAGGAGAUGCUGACCUUCAAAUUCUAAAUUCAGCUUGUUGGCAUAUUAUGUAAUAGUCCACCUGUUUUGCUUUUCCCAUCUGGACAGCAGAAGUAGUACAUAACUGGGUUCUCUAAAACGUAUGGUAGUUAUGGCAAUAUACACUAUUUGAAAAAGAAAUGGUGGCCUAGCUAGCUUAUUUCAGUUUUCGCCUUACUAAAAACUCACAGACGUAGAUUCCACCAAGGAAGCUGAAAGGGAAAAAUGGAGACAAGCUAACUAUAUAUGAGAAGAAUGAGUAAUAAACCGUGGCUUAGUCAUUCAAUGGAAUACUACAUCUAGUUCAACUGAAUGAAAAUAAUCUCCAUGGAUCAACAUGGAUUUUCAUAUGGUCAAAAUACCCACGGAAUAUAUGAGUGGCAGCAGUAAACAGUCCUUGAAGUUCUUGGUUGUUUAACUUGACUGUUGGUGAUGCCCAGUGAGGCCCUGUCUGCUCCAAGCAAAUUACAUAAAAAAGAUGUGAAUAAAAACUCAUCAAAUACUAACAGAGGGGUAUGUGAUCUGUAUACUUACAAUGAACUUUUCAAGACACAGGCUACAAAAUGCACUGGCUAAGAAAUGACUAGGAACCAAGGGCAGAAUGGGGAUAAAGUGAAUUCCAGCAAAAUGCUGUCCCUUCAAUAAGUCUGACUGGAAGGCCCAAGUGGCCAACUGGAACACCUCCAUGGGAUACAGUAAGUAUGGGGCUUUGGGAAAACACACACACACACACACACACACACACACACACGGCCUACUUUAGCACAGACCCAGCCAUUUGUGAAUCAAGAUUUCUUGGGGGAGAUUUCUGAG
rnacentral:lncRNA from 1 species